rnacentral:rRNA from 1 species
ACGCUCGACACCUACGGAAGGCAGCAGUAGGGAAUAUUGCACAAUGGGGGAAACCCUGAUGCAGCGACGCCGCGUGAGCGAAGAAGUAUUUCGGUAUGUAAAGCUCUAUCAGCAGGGAAGAAACUGACGGUACCUGACUAAGAAGCACCGGCUAAAUACGUGCUAGCAGCCGCGGUAAUCUGAGCGGGCUGGCAAGGC